UGGAACCAAAAUUUCAUGAUUGAUUUCCUUAGAUCCAUUCAAAUUCGGUUUUUCCAUUCCAUUCAUCCGACGCGAUUCUUCUCCAAUUCAUCGCGACGCGAAUUUUGUCCAAUUCAUCGCGAUUCUUCUCCAAUUCAUUGCAGUUCAUCGUGAUUCCAUUCUUCUCCAAUUCAUCAAUCACGCAAAAGAGAAAUCAAUGGAUUCAAUUCUGAUGUGGGGACGAAGAUUAUUUCGAUUCUGAUUCAUCAUCGUUGAGAGAGGAAGCUGAGACUUCUAAAUUUAUUUACAUGCCAAAAUGUCCCGAAGAUUUAAAGCCAAGAAUUGGACAAAGUUUAUCACUCUUGAUCAUGCAUUGGACUUCUAUAACAAUUACGCUUGACAUGUUGGGUUUUAUACCCGUAAGAAGGGAUCAAAAAGGUGAAAGAAAAGACAAAAAUACAGACACUGAGGUUAUCAAUGAAACCAAGUCGAAAAUGUGGACUGCCAAGAGAUUGGACAUCAUGAUUCGAGGAACUGCAGAAAGGUGAAAGAGAAGACAAAACAGAGGCACUGAGAAUUUGGACAGAAAUAGUUCACUUUGUAGCAUGUUUAGUGCAUUAAUGACUCGUUUUUACUUCACUUUUUAGUGAUUUUUAUCUCGUUGCAAACUUGUUUUUUGUGUUCUGCUCAAGUGCGAAUAAGUUCACUUUUACAUGUGUUUAUUUCACUGCUUACAAGUCUUUAGUUCACAUAUUAGAUGUUUUGGUUCACAUUAUAGCAGAAAUGAAAUACUAUAUAGUCUUGUAUACUGAUGUUUGAUAAUUCAGUGAAGAAUAUUAUUCA